rnacentral:tRNA from 1 species
GGCCUAGUGGUCUAGAGGCAUGAUACUCGCUUUGGGUGCGAGUGGCCUCGGGUUCGAAUCCCAGCUGGACCC